CAUAUGGCAACACAGUUUGUCAGUUAUUCAUUCUCUGUACAUUCUUGGAAUUUCAGUUUCAAUUGAAUUCCUAAAUCUUAGUUUUUAGCUUAAGAAGCGUCACUCAUUGUACAAACGCCAGCAAAGAUACAAGUGUUCUUUAAUAAAUUAUCUAUAUAACCUACAAAUUGUAUUUUCUAAGUUUCAUUGUUUAUAAAAUUUAAUCAGAAACUAAUAUAUUUUUCAGCAUGUCGGGUAAAAGUGAUCUAUGGAAUCAUUUUAUAAAAAAGGACUUAGGAGGCACUUGCAAAUAUCGUCACCAGGAAGUAAAAACUAAGGAAAGCACAACAAACUUGCGUAAUAAUUUACUAAGACGACAUCCAACAAUUAACACUUUGUUGAUAACAUGAUUUUAGACAUCGUGCCAGUUCCACAUUUGCAAAAUGCUGAUAAUACGGAUACUGAAAGCGUAGCUUCUUCUGCUGCCUCUCUCUCAGUCUUAAAACAGCAAACAUUGAGAUCUUGCUUAACAAAUAUAAAAUCAUUUGGAGAUAAUGGUGUUAAGUGUGCUCAAAUAACAAAUGCAAUAGUCUUCAUGAUAGCAAAGGAUGGUUUACCUCUCAAUACUGUGGAAAAGACAGGAUUUCAAUGUUUAAUGAAGGUAGUAGUACCGCUUUAUAAAGUUCCAGCCAGAAAAACAAUUACUCAUAUGAUUGACGAUAAAUAUGACAUUCUUUCGACACAACUGAAAUUAAAAAUACAAGAAGUGAAGCAUUAUGUUUAACUGCAGAUGUUUGGACUGACUCGCAUAAUAGUCAAAGCUACUUAGGCUUAACUGGUCAUUGUAUAUAAGAAAAUAAAUUAAUGAGCAUAAUUUUUUGUGUAACUGCUCUAACAGAACCCCACAAUGCUGACUACAUAGCACAAGUAAUUAUUAAUAUGACUGAAAAAUGGGGCAUCACAAAUAACAAAGUAAUAGCGUUUAUCACGGACAAUGGCGCAAAUAUCGUUAAAGCUGUCACAAAUGUUUAUGGCAAAAAUAAACACAUGCCAUGCUUUGCCCACACAUUAAACCUAGUAGCAUCAAAACCAUUUGAUACUAAAGAUGGACUGCAAGAAGCUAAAAAUUUACUAACAGCUGUUAAAAAAAAGUCAGCAGCAUUUGUAUUAUGCUUAAAAUAUGAUAACAACAUUGCUGGCGCUUUAGGAUACUUGAGUAAUAUAGGCGCAAUUAUUUCGGAUAAUCCAACAAAUCGUUCGAAUUGAUAAAAAACAGAAUUCCAUUUCGUACACACAGACUGAAUAAGCCCCAAAGGCUUCGUUCGGUGAUCCUGAGCUUUCUUUAAAGAGUCAGCAGCAUUUGUACUAUGCUUAAAAUAUCUUGUUAUCAGCAAUGCUAACUGCACAGCAGUUGGAAUUCAUAAAAGAUGUUAUAAAUAUAUUAAGACCAUUAGAAGUAAUAACAAAAGAAAUUUCGGGAGAAGAUUACAUAUGUUACAGCGACUAAAAGCAUACCAAUAGUAUCUUGCCUGACUGAAACAUAUAAUAAACUGAAAACUUCAACUGAUAUUGGUGCUAAAACUAGAAUUUUAAUUGUGGAUGGCUUAAAUAAAAGAUUUGGGCGUGUCGAGCAAGUUCAUUUGUUGGCUGCUGCGACCAUUUUAGAUCCGAGAUUUAAAAAAAUUCAUUUUGCUGACCAAGUAGCUUGUUCACGAGCAAUAAAUAGAAUCAACACUUCAAUUUUAGAUAAUACUCGGCAACAACUUCUACAAAAUAAUAUUGAGGAAGUCGACGCAAUAGAAGGGACUAUGAUAGACGUUCUCUGUUCAUAUUGUUUGUGAAAAGCAAUAUGUGGAAUACUAAUUAGUAUGCCAUAUAUUGAAAGCAAUGAACUGUCACUUCAGCAGUUUGAAAGGUCAGUUUUCAUUUCUAUGAAAAUUUUAAAUACGCAACACUUCCCAUUUACACAUAUACCGGCGGCAGUUUCAUUUCGGUAAUAUUAAAUUUAGUAGAGUGAGUAUUAAGACGCUUGUGUUAUAUUAUAAAGAUAAAGUACAUUUUCAAAAUAACGUUUUUCCAAAAAAUUAAUAUUUAGUUUAAUACUAGCUGACCCCGCAGCCGUUGUCCUGCGUGAAAUUAUGUAGUUUGAAAUGAAAAGAAAGUUAAAUUUAUCAUUUCAUUUUUUUUUUUUUCAAUGUAACGCAGCUUUAUAAACAACAUUUUCGGUUUCUGUUCCGGUGUACAGAAAAGAUGGUUUUCCAACUCGUGAGCACGCUACGGCCAUGUGAAAAACAUAGCAUUUCCAAAAUUAUGCCUCACACUAUGCGACUAUCUUUAGGUCCUGUUGACUGUCAUCUCAAAUUCAAUUUUCACUCGAAACGGAAUACGUUUGAACUGAAAUGGCAAAUUGUUAGAACUCAAAGGAAUUCGUAGGAUCAAGCAUUCUGUCCCUUUGUACUCGAUAGGUGCGUCACAAUCAGUCGGGUUCCAUUACACAGUUUCGGCGCAUGAAGAUUGAGAAACAUAAUAACGACAGAUCCUACUUUGAGACGCAAAUGAUGCGGUGGCAUACCAAGCCUGUCCAAAGAAUUUAGGAAUACCACUGGAUAAUUCACGGCGUCGUCUUCAUAGUCAAGACGGUCAAUCGAUUUGUAUGAGCGCAAGUCUCCCGGAACUUGACUUUGAAUCUUCCAGUUGAAGUCAACAACAUCGGUAUUUUUGGCAGCUAACAUUGUGCGUGCACUUAAGGGAUCGUAGUUAUGAUA